rnacentral:lncRNA from 1 species
CCCGUAUUCCGUGCCUAGGACCUCCUCCCCGGUGUAACCCCCCCCCCCCGGCCCCCCUCUGGAUCGCUCACCGACUGCUGAGCGCGCUCUUCUCUGGCGGCUGCCCUCCACCCGCUUCCGCCCGCGGGUCCUGGAGGCUCCCAGCGCUGCCUGGCUUCGGUCCGGGGACGGCGGCGCACGCGGUGGCGGCCCGGCUCGCUCGCGCCUCAUCCCCGCGGCGGUCUCGCCCUCUGCGUUCCCCGGCACCGAAGCCCUCGGGCGCCGUUCCGCACAGCACGACGGCUGUUACCUGCCGUGUGAGGGGGGCUGCGCUGUGUCUACGCUUCCAGGCCUCUCCCCGGAACUCUCCGGCCGUCGUGGCCCUCGAGAACUCCCGUCUGAACUCGGACCUCCUCUGCAAAGCCUUCCGUGCCUCGGCUUCCGUCCACGUGACUACCUUGAAGCGAGGCGCAGCGUUACUCGCGCUCCUUUGCCGUGUCCGGUUGGGGCGCCGGGAGCGGGGGUUCCGGCGAGGCCCGGCGGCGGCCGGCCCGGAAACAGGAGCCGGCGUCGAGGUUCCGCGCGCUGCCGCCCUUGGCCGCCUGCCCCGGCUUCGCAGGGCUGUUCCGCUCGCAGGUCCCCCAGCCGGAGCCGCUUUCCGGGGCACAGCCCCGCGCUGGUCCUGUGCGGCCGAGACCGCGGGCGGCCGCGUGCCUCAACCCGGAUGCGGCCUCCUAGAAAACCCUGACUCGGGGCCGGUGCAGCGGGCCCUCGUCUUGCCGCUUCCCUCCCGCAGCCUGAUGAGAUAUUUCAGAUUCAGAGAAGUUACUUGCCCCAAACCAAAUUACCAGUAAUUGGAAGAUCAAGAAUGAAAAGGACUCUUUCCAUCACACCACAUGAUGAUCUGUACUCUCCACAAAAGUGAAAAUUGUCCAGUAGCUGGAGCAGAUUUCUUCCCCCAACAAAGAAGAUGGGUGUUCCUGUGGUGAGAGCAGAGUUGGGGAGAAGCCAAGUCUAAUCAUCUCACUACCUAGAAGAGAUGAAGUACUGCCUUGAAAUGUGCCCACUCCACAGCUGUGACAAGAGCUGCCACAGUCUAAUUGCUAGUCUAAUUGCUGUGUCACCAGAUACACAUAUAGAAGAAAGAGAGCCUGAAGGUUGCAAGUAAGGAUUCAAAGUGAAUCUAGGCUGGUACAUGUUCCCUAUGUCUUUUAGCCUGUGCCCUCUAGAGCUGCCAAUGCUAUGGUCAAAACAGCCAUGUGGAUUAAAAAACAGUGACACAAGGAGACUGUGACAGUUGGUGUGACUGAGUUACAACACGCCAUGGAGUAUCCCAUAAAGUUGAGAACUCUGCCUCCUAUUCUUAUUUUAAUGUCAUUCUCUUGGAUUAGGUUUUCCUGAGAUAAAAUGAGUGAAUUCUCUUUUAAUGAAUUAUUCAAAACAUAAAAAUAAAAUAUCAUCUUCUGUACACCUACAUAUGCAUGCAUGCACACACAGAGCUCUACUUCUCCUGCUUUUUUUGUUCCCUUUUCUUCACUUGCUCAUAGAAAUUCUUCCAGGCAUUGCUUCAUUGAAGAUCCUACUUGUGCUUCCCUACCUUCCUCAGAGCAUUGCUGAAGACAUGCAGUUGGAGCAAACCAGUGGCAAACCUUGCCUAUCCCUGUCCCCAGCCCCAUGCAAGCUCUGACUAUGGAGUGUGGCAGCAGUUUAUACUAGAUGUUUCUUCCAAAGGGAAGGGUGAUUCCUUUUCUACUGCUCAGAAUGCUCCUUUCAUAAGUACUUUCCACAGGGAGUUUCUCUGAGCCUCUCUCACCUCUUCAUUUGGUUCCAUUCCAGCACAACUCAUAUUAAAGGUCUCCUCCUUGUCCCUCCAUUUGCUCAGUCGGCUUCACAGUAUGGAAGCCUUCCUUCUAUUGCCAUUCGAGGUUCAGUGAAAAAUGUGCAAGCAAAACCUGCCCUCUCUGGCCGUGCAGUUUGCAGGCUGCCUGUGGUAGCUCCAGACCGAUGCUGCCCCUAUAUUACUCUUGCCUAGAAAAUCCUUACCUUAAAGCAGUAACUGAGCUGGCCUAUUCGUCAUAGGCCAGCUACUGCUUUAAGUAGAACAUGCCAUCUCAGAUGAACCUCCAAGUGAUCCUAACUGAUAGCUAUUAUUAUCAUUUGCAGACUAGGGAUCCAUGAUUAUAAAAAAGAAACAUCUUAGUCAAGAUCACAAAGCAAGUGACAUUGUUUGGAUUCAAACCUCAGUCUGGCCCUUUCACGAAGAUGGCACCGAAGGCGAAGAAGGAAGCCCCUGCCCCUCCCAAAGGCGAGCCAAAGCAAAGGCUUUGAAAGCUAAGAAAGCGGUGCUGAAAGGCGUGCACAGUCACAAAAAAAAAGAAGAUCCGCACGUCACCUACAUUCCGAGGACCCAAGACCCUGCGUCUCCGAAGGCAGCCCAAAUGUCCUUGAAAGAGCGCCCCCAGGACAAACAAGCUUGAUCACUAUGCCAUCAUCAGGUUCCCCUUAACUACUGAGUCAGCCAUGAAGAAAAUAGAAGACAACAACACACUUGUGUUCAUUGUGGAUGUCAAGGCCAAUAAGCACCAGAUCAAACAGGCUGUGAAGAAGCUCUAUGACAUUGAUGUGGCCAAGGUCAACACCUUGAUCAGGCCUGAUGGUGAGAAGAAAGCAUAUGUUCGACUGGCUCCUGACUAUGAUGCUUUGGAUGUUGCCAACAAAAUUGGGAUCAUUUAAACUGAGUCCAGCUGGCUAUAAAUCUAAUUUUUUUUCACCAUAAAAAAAAAAAAAAAAAAACCCUCAGUCUAUCUGAUUCCAAAGCCUGUGUUUUGUUUUUUUUCUUUGUUUAGCCUGUGCAUCUUACUGCUUCUCAAGGGAAAUACUGGAAAUUUGAUACCAGAAGGCCUGAUUCAAAAUCCCUGUUCAACUGUGUAUUUGCACUGUGGAUCUGGAUCUCAUUCACCCUCUCAGAUUCACCAUUAACCUCCUGUUUCACCUACAGUUCUCUAAGUCUGCCACGUCCUUGCUGUCUUUGCUCCUUCUGUCUGGAAUGCCCUGCCACCCACUCCGUGCUUAACUAAAAACUACCUGCCCUUCAGCCUUCAGCCUUCAGCCUUCAGCCCUGAUUUCCUCUAGGCUGGAUUAUCUCCACCUCAAAGAAGCUCUCUAUGUCUCUAUGCUUUCCUGUCAGGUGCCCCAUCAGAAUGCACUGUAAGCAUCUCCUCCCCUGCGUGAUGUACAUAUUUAUUUGAUACUAGUGUCC